rnacentral:rRNA from 1 species
AGUGAACGCUGGCGGCAGGCCUAACACAUGCAAGUCGAACGAGUGGCGGACGGGUGAGUAAUGUCUGGGAACCUGCCCGAUGGAGGGGGAUAACUACUGGAAACGGUAGCUAAUCCCGCAUACAAUCGGAUGUGCCCAGAUGGGCUUAGCUGGUAGGUGAGGUAACGGCUCACCUGGGCGACGAUCCCUAGCUGGUCUGAGAGGCUGACCAGCCACAAUGGAACUGAGACACGGUCCAGACUCCUACGGGAGGCAGCAGGGGGGAAUAUUGCACAAUGGGCGCAAGUCUGAUGCAGCCAUGCCGCGUGUAUGAAGAAGGCCUUCGGGUUGUAAAGUACUUUCAGCAGGGAGGCGUUACCCGCAGAAGAAGCACCGGCUAACUCCGUGCCAGCAGCCGCGGUAAUUC